GACGAACGCUGGCGGCGUGCUUAACACAUGCAAGUCGAACGGUAAGGCCUUUCGGGGUACACGAGUGGCGAACGGGUGAGUAACACGUGGGUGAUCUGCCCUGCACUUCGGGAUAAGCCCGGGAAACUGAGUCUAAUACCGGAUAGGACUGCGCGGUGCAUGCCGUGUGGUGGAAAGAUUGAUCGGUGCAGGAUGGGCCCGCGGCCUAUCAGCUUGUUGGUGGGGUUAUGGCCUACCAAGGCGACGACGGGUAGCCGGCCUGAGAGGGCGACCGGCCACACUGGGACUGAGACACGGCCCGGACUGCUACGGGAGGCAGCAGUGGGGAAUAUUGCACAAGGGGCGGAAGCCUGAUGCAGCGACGCCGCGUGGGGGAUGGAGGCCUUCGGGUUGUAAACCUCUUUCAGCAGGGACGAAGCGUGAGUGACGGUACCUGGAGAAGAAGCACCGGCCAACUACGUG
rnacentral:rRNA from 1 species